rnacentral:rRNA from 1 species
GAGUUUGAUCAUGGCUCAGGACGAACGCUGGCGGCGUGCUUAAAACAUGCAAGUCGAACGAGGUCCAUGGUGUCGCAAGACACCGGAAGACCGAGUGGCGAACGGGUGCGUAACACGUGAGGAACCUGCCCCAGAGACCGGGAUAACUCUCCGAAAGGAGAGCUAAUACCGGAUGUGCUCAUCGGAUCGCCUGGUCUGAUGAGGAAAUGGAUUCCGCUCUGGGAUGGCCUCGCGGCCUAUCAGCUUGUUGGUGGGGUAACGGCUCACCAAGGCGACGACGGGUAGCUGGUCUGAGAGGACGAUCAGCCACACUGGGACUGAGACACGGCCCAGACUCCUACGGGAGGCAGCAGUUAGGAAUCUUGCGCAAUGGGCGAAAGCCUGACGCAGCAACGCCGCGUGGGGGAUGAAUGCUCUCGGGUUGUAAACCCCUUUCAGCAGGGACGAUUAUGACGGUACCUGCAGAAGAAGGACCGGCCAACUACGUGCCAGCCGCCGCCGUAAU